rnacentral:rRNA from 1 species
CCUACGGGUGGCAGCAGUGAGGAAUAUUGGUCAAUGGGCGCGAGCCUGAACCAGCCAAGUAGCGUGAAGGAGGACUGUCCGACGGGUUGUAAACUUCUUUUAUAAAGGAAUAAAGUGAGGUACGUGUGCCUUUUUGUGUGUACUUGAUGAAUAAGGAUCGGCUAACUCCGUGCCAGCAGCCGGGGUAAUACGGAGGAUCCGAGCGUUAUCCGGAUUUAUUGGGUUUAAAGGGUGCGUAGAUGGGUUGUUCAGUCAGUUGUGAAAGUUUGCGGGUCAACCGUAAAAUUGCAAUUAAGACUGGCAGUCUUGAGUACAGUUGAGGUAGGCGGAAUUCGUGGUGUAGCGGUGAAAUGCUUAGAUAUCACGCAGAACUCCGAUUGCGAAGGCAGCUUACUAAACUGCCACUGACAUUGAUGCUCGAAAGUGUGGGUAUCAAACAGGAUUAGAUACCCGUGUAGUC